GCUGCAUUUUUGGGCUGGCUAACUCCUGUCAUUCCUAUUUCUUUAACCACACAGUACAGAGACUCACCUUUCAGUUUGCUGAACUGAAAUGACUUGCUGAGGGCCAUGAUCCAAUUUGUGUUGAAGUCAAUGGAAGUCACUCCAAUUAUUUCAACUGGAUCAACAGGAUCUGCAAAGACACCCAGGGCUUGAAGGCUCAUGAUUCUGCUCGGAAGUCCAUUGACACAAGUUUGAUGAACCUCUCCCAG